GAACUGAGAAAGUUAUUGAUUAUGUGGGAUUUGUUUUAAAGUCGCCAGAUGGAGGACCACCUAUUCUUCCUGAAUUCACUGAUGCGGUUAAAAGUUGAAGGCCCGAAGGGUUGUUGAUAAAGUCUUGAAGGCCUGUAUUUGUUCGUGGUCAACCAUAUGUCUAAAAGACAACCAAUGUGGUUUACAAGGAAUUUUUUACUGAAAUUUUAGUGAUUUGUUAUUUCUUUCU
rnacentral:lncRNA from 1 species